rnacentral:rRNA from 1 species
GACGAACGCUGGCGGCGUGCUUAACACAUGCAAGUCGAACGGUGAAGCGCCUUCCUUUUUGGUGGGUGUGGAUGAGUGGCGAACGGGUGAGUAACACGUGAGUAACCUGCCCCCUUCUUCUGGAUAACCGCAUGAAAGUGUGGCUAAUACGGGAUAUUCUGGGUCUGUCGCAUGAUGGGUCUGGGAAAGAUAUUGUUUCGGUGGGGGAUGGGCUCGCGGCCUAUCAGCUUGUUGGUGGGGUGAUGGCCUACCAAGGCGGUGACGGGUAGCCGGCCUGAGAGGGUGGACGGUCACACUGGGACUGAGACACGGCCCAGACUCCUACGGGAGGCAGCAGUGGGGAAUAUUGCACAAUGGGCGCAAGGCUGAUGCAGCGACGCCGCGUGAGGGAUGGAGGCCUUCGGGUUGUGAACCUCUUUCGCCAGUGAAGCAGGCCUGCCUCGUUUGUGGGUGGGUUGACGGUAGCUGGAGAAGAAGCGCCGGCUAACUACGUG